AUUGAACGCUGGCGGCAGGCCUAACACAUGCAAGUCGAGCGGAGCGGCGGACGGGUGAGUAAUGCCUAGGAAUUUGCCUGGUAGUGGGGGAUAACGUCAGGAAACGGGCGCUAAUACCGCAUACUAUCAGAUGAGCCUAGGUCGGAUUAGCUCGUUGGUGGGGUAAAGGCUUACCAAGGCGACGAUCCGUAACGGGUCUGAGAGGAUGAUCAGUCACACUGGAACUGAGACACGGGCCAGACUCCGACGGGAGGCAGCAGUGGGGAAUAUUCGACAAUGGGCGAAAGCCUGAUCCCGCCAUCCCGCGUGUGUGAAGAAGGUCUUCGGAUUGUAAAGCCCUGUAAGUUGGGAGGCGUUACCAACAGAAUAAGCACCGGCUAACUUCGUGCCAGCAGCCGCGGUAAUAC
rnacentral:rRNA from 1 species